rnacentral:rRNA from 1 species
AGUGAACGCUGGCGGUAGGCCUAACACAUGCAAGUCGAACGGCAGCACAGUAAGAGCUUGCUCUUACGGGUGGCGAGUGGCGGACGGGUGAGGAAUACAUCGGAAUCUACUUUUUCGUGGGGGAUAACGUAGGGAAACUUACGCUAAUACCGCAUACGACCUACGGGUGAAAGCAGGGGAUCUUCGGACCUUGCGCGAUUGAAUGAGCCGAUGUCGGAUUAGCUAGUUGGCGGGGUAAAGGCCCACCAAGGCGACGAUCCGUAGCUGGUCUGAGAGGAUGAUCAGCCACACUGGAACUGAGACACGGUCCAGACUCCUACGGGAGGCAGCAGUGGGGAAUAUUGGACAAUGGGCGCAAGCCUGAUCCAGCCAUACCGCGUGGGUAAAGAAGGCCUUCGGGUUGUAAAGCCCUGUUGUUGGGAAAGAAAAGCAGCAGGUGAAUACCCCGCUGUUCUGACGGUACCCAAAGAAUAAGCACCGGCUAACUUCGUG